rnacentral:tRNA from 1 species
GUCUCGGUAGUGAAAUGGAUCAGCACGACAGACCGGAUAACUGUAAGUGCGGGCUCGAGUUCCGCCUGAGGUU